rnacentral:rRNA from 1 species
AUUGAACGCUGGCGGCAGGCCUAACACAUGCAAGUCGAACGGUAACAGGAUAGCUUGCUAUCGCUGACGAGUGGCGGACGGGUGAGUAAUACUUAGGGAUCUGCCUCUGUGUGGGGGAUAACUAUUGGAAACGAUAGCUAAUACCGCAUAAUGUCUCCGGACCAAAGAGGGCUUUUAGCUCUCGCGCAGAGAGGAACCUAAGCGAGAUUAGCUAGUUGGUGAGGUAAAGGCUCACCAAGGCGACGAUCUCUAGCUGUUCUGAGAGGAAGAUCAGCCACACUGGAACUGAGACACGGUCCAGACUCCUACGGGAGGCAGCAGUGGGGAAUAUUGCACAAUGGGGGAAACCCUGAUGCAGCCAUGCCGCGUGUGUGAAGAAGGCCUUCGGGUUGUAAAGCACUUUCAGUUGUGAGGAAAGUUUAGUAGUUAAUACCUGCUAGAUGUGACGUUAGCAACAGAAGAAGCACCGGCUAACUCCGUGCCAGCAGCCGCGGUAAUACGGAGGGUGCGAGCGUUAAUCGGAAUUACUGGGCGUAAAGCGCACGCAGGCGGUCUGUUAAGCUAGAUGUGAAAGCCCCGCGCUCAACGUGGGAGGGUCAUUUAGAACUGGCAGACUAGAGUCUUGGAGAGGGGAGUGGAAUUCCAGGUGUAGCGGUGAAAUGCGUAGAGAUCUGGAGGAACAUCAAUGGCGAAGGCAACUCCCUGGCCAAAGACUGACGCUCAUGUGCGAAAGUGUGGGUAGCGAACAGGAUUAGAUACCCUGGUAGUCCACACCGUAAACGCUGUCUACUAGCUGUUUGUGGAUUUAAUCCGUGAGUAGCGAAGCUAACGCGAUAAGUAGACCGCCUGGGGAGUACGGCCGCAAGGUUA